GACGAACCGUGCGAACGUUGUUCGGAAUCACUGGGCUUAAAGGGCGCGUAGGCGGGCUGCCGCGUCCGGGGUGAAAUCCCACGGCUCAACCGUGGAACGGCCUCGGAUACGGGCGGCCUCGAGGGGGGUAGGGGCAUCUGGAACUGUGAGUGGAGCGGUGAAAUGCGUUGAUAUUCACAGGAACUCCGGUGGCGAAGGCGAGGUGCUGGACCCCUUCUGACGCUGAGGCGCGAAAGCGUGGGGAGCGAACAGG
rnacentral:rRNA from 1 species